ensembl:lncRNA
AGUAUAUAAUGUUGUAUAGUGUAUAGUAUAUAAUGUAGUACAGUGUAUAGUGUAGAGUAUAUAAUGUAGUAUAGUGUAUAGUAUAUAAUAGUAUAUAAUGUAGUAUAGUGUAGAGUAUAUAAUGUAGUACAGUGUAUAGUGUAUAGUAUAUAAUGUAGUAUAGUGUAGAGUAUAUAAUGUAGUAUAAUGUAUAGUGUAGAGUAUAGGACAGAUUCUGAUUGCACGCGCACUCCCUUUGUCAGAAAAAAGAAAAACCAAAUCAGCGGCUAGCUGUAGUAAAUCCAGACCAACCUGAUCUCUCUCUGCUGUUCUGGACCCGUCCCUAAGCACCUCGUUCUCCUUGCCCGCCGGAUUCAUGUCUCCUUCCUCGUGCUCGCUUCUCCUCCGGUUCCUGCGCGCGCUUUAAUAAAAAGUCGCGGUGCUCUGAGGAGAUGAUCUUCGAGAAGCCAUAGAUAACUUCUCUCUCUCCGUUUCUAAAUCUUUCUCCCUCCACCCUUACGUUAGAAGCUACAUGCACGAGCGCAUAACCCCACCCGCGCCGCUGCCGCUCGCGCGCGCGCUCACUUUUCCAACGCAAUUCCGUCGCAAAAACUUCCGCCAUUUCCCGGCGGGACAGGUGAGCUCGGCCACGCCCACUACAGAAGAGUCUAGCAAACCGUGCAGAAGUUGCUGGAAAUGUGAUGGAAGUUUACCGGAAUUUCUGUUUCAGACCUAAAGGUUUUAUUCGGCCUUGUCUGAUCUCAGUACAGCGAGUGUGAUCAGACUUCUCACGUUACUGUCACAUCUGCUGUUUUUAUUAUAAUACA